rnacentral:lncRNA from 1 species
AGCUCCGCUCCACAGCUCCUUCUCCCGGCGGUGCUGCCAUCGCCUCUGACCCCCUGCUCUCGCGAUGGACAACCUCGGGGAGUCGCCCACAGACAAAGGCGGGGAGCCAGGGGAGUCAGAGGAGACGAGGGCUACUCCUGGGGCUUUGGUGGCAGCCGACACUGAGGGAAUCCCGGAGGAAACCGACAGGGAUGGAGACGCGGACUUGAAAGAAGCCGCGGCGGAGGAAAGCGAGGUAGGUGGAAGUUGGUGGAUAACGCUGCAGGACUACCCGGGUGCGCUCCUGACUGCUUUCUUCCAAAGCCAGGGAACUAGAAUUCCCCCACGACUGUUUGUGAGUCUGCAACCUUGAGGGGCAGGAGAGGGAACGGGAAGGUGUAGGUGCUGUUAGAGCCCUAUUCAGGCCUGCUUGUACUCCAGCUCCUUUUGGGGGAAGGCUGAGGAGGAAGGUGGAGGAGACAAGAAGAUAAAAGACGAGGAGAAAAUGGUUAAGGACAAAUAAAUUUGAAAAUCUGAAGCACAAAGGUUAGAAACACGCGUAGAUCAAUAGUGGAAAGUAAGUUAGAAAGGCUGUCAGAUAGAUAAUGCCUUCUCUCCCCCUCUCCAUAUUUCUGUAUGAGUUUAAAUAUGAAUUCCUUCCUUCCUUUCUCUCUUUCUCUCUCUCCCUCUCUUUCUUUCUUCUCCUCCUCCUCCUUCUUCUUUCUCCUCCUCCUUCUCCUUCUCUUCUUCCCCUUCUUCCUCUUCUUCCUCCUCCUCCUUCGAGACAGGGUAGCCCUGGCUAACCUGGAACUCAGGUUCUAUAGACCACACUGGCUUCGAAUUCAGAGAUCCCCUUGCCUCUGACUUCCAAGUGUUAGUAUCAAAGGCAUGUGCCACCACUUCCCGACAUACCUUUCAUUUUAAAGGAACCAUUAAAUCUCAUUAAUGAGUUUUGAUGUAUUACGAUUUUAUAGUAAGUUGGCUAGGACAGAGUUUGGAUCACUCUUGUGAAUAAAACGGUUAAGUGUUUAUGUGAGGAGAAAUGUAAAUAGUAAACAUCUUGAAGACGUUUUUAGCUUAGGGCAGGCGAAAUUGUUCAGCAGGUCAGGGUGCUUGAUCCCCAGAACCCACGUUAAGGUAGAAGCGGACUAUCUGCACAAAGUUGUCCACUUACAAACCCACACACAUGAAUGUCCGUAGUAACUGAAAAAUUGUGGGUUUUUAAGAAUAUUUUUUAUAUGAAUGUUUUGCCUGUGUAUUUUUGUUUGCCGUGUAAUGUGCCUGGCACAUUCCCUGUAAAAGUCAGAAGAAGGCAUUAGAUCCCCUGAAACUAGAGUUGCUAAUGACUGCGAGCUGAAAUGUGGGUGUUGGUAAAUGGAACCUAGAUACUCUGCAAGAACAGCCAAUGCUCUUAACCUCUGAGCUUUCUGCAGUUUUUAGUUUAAACUCAAUAUAAUGGUACAAGUCUAUAAUUUCCACAAGCUGAAAAUCCAAAAUGAGACUUUGUCUUAAAUUAC